rnacentral:rRNA from 1 species
AUUGAACGCUGGCGGCAGGCCUCACACAUGCAAGUCGAGCGAGCGGCGGACGGGUGAGUAAUGUCUGGGAAACUGCCUGUUGGCUGGGGAUCACUACUGGAAACGGUAGCUAAUACCGCCUAACAUCAGAUUUGCCCAGAUGGGAUUAGCUAGUAGGUGGGGUAACGGCUACCCUAGGCGUCUAUCCCUAGCUGGUCUGAGCGGUUGACCAGCCACACUGUGACUGAGACACGGGCCAGACUCCUACGGGAGGCAGCAGUGGGGAAUAUUGCACAAUGGGCGCAAGCCUGAUGCAGCAAUGCCGCGUGUGUGAAGAAGGCCUUCGGGUUGUAAAGCACUUUCAGCGGGGAGGCGUUACCCGCAGAAGAAGCACCGGCUAACUCCGUGCCAGCCGCCGCGGUAAUAC